rfam:Oryza sativa Japonica Group DNA, chromosome 5, cultivar: Nipponbare, complete sequence.
UUUAAGCAUUGUCAUGAGUUUCCGUGUUCAACUUUGAUCAUCCGUUUUAUUUUAAAUUCUUUUUUAUGAUUAGUUUUUUUUGUUAUUAGAGAUAAAAAAGUAUUUUAGGUGUGACUUAUGUUUUUUAUUUUUAUUCAAAAAAAUUUCAAAUAGGUGGACGAUUAAAGUUACACAUGAAAACUCAUAGCUGCACUUAAA